AGAACUCUUACAUGUAUCUAAAAAAUUACGAAUUCCUAUUUGUAUUUUUAAAACUAAAUUGGUAAAAUUUACUGAAGGUAAAAGUCAUACAUCCUAUGUUUCAGCAAUUCUAGUCUCCUAUAUGCCCAAGAUAAAUUAGUGUCUGCUUGCAAUAUGACAUGAGAGUAUUUAUAUAAAUUUAUUCAUAAUAAAAAACUGGAAGCAACCCAAUAAUCCAUCCAAAGAGAAUAAAUAAUCUAAGUUAUAUUUCUAAAGCUUAAUACCGUAUUGUGGUAGAAAGUGUGAAUUGUUAAAAUAAGCUAUAACAUGGAUGAUAUUAACAGAAAAACUUUUAAGCAGAAAGAGUUAAACAUCAAGAAAUGCAUUCUAUAUUUUCCCUUUUAAAUAAAGUGUAAAAACAGACAAAACUACUAUUUAUUGGGAGAAGUCAGAGUAUUGAUAAGCCUUGAGGUUUUAGUCACUAGAAGGGACGACAGGGAGGUUUUUGAGAUUUGAAAAUCUUUUAUAUCUAGAUCUAAGUGGCUGCUUCACAGGUACAUUCUUUGUAAGAAUGAAUCGAACUCUAUAAGCAAUAAUUACACGUUACUCUAUAUAGAAUUUUCCUCAACAAAAAGUCAAUUAAAAAUGAGAUUCCAACAACCAUGUCAUGAAAUUAGAGAUUGCUCAACCUCUAGUAGAAUGGAAUGAUCAGAGAUUACUAAAUCAAUCACACAGGAUGAAAUAAUAGAGGCUAUAGAGUUGGGAAUAUCACACACGUGUCAUAAAAUAAUGUGUGUUUCAUGUGUGUAAGCAAGACUGAAGGAAUGAUGAAGAAACAUUUCUAGGGAUCACUCAGUGAAGCCCAGGAAGUCCACACAGAAUCAUGCAUCUUACGCAACCAUUGCGUAUUGUUCUAAGGUGUCCCAUGUUCUUGAUUCUUGACAACAUCUACCAUCUCUGCUCUUAUCUCAGUGCUGUUCUUCAAGUGUUUUUCUUCCUCUUCUUCAAUACUGACUGUAUUCAUUAUCUAAUUAUUUCUCUCUCUCUCUCUCUCUCUCUCUCUCUCUCUCUCUCUCUCUCUCUCUCUCUCUCUGUUUUUGGUGCAUGACUAACAAAUCUGACUUGACACCUGAACAUGGAUUCACUUCCCACUGAGCUAUAUUUUAGUUUACUUAACCUGCUCAUUUAUUCCACAGGUGUAUUUUGAUGAGAAAAAGAAAAGAAAAAGAAAAUGUGCUAAUCUCUUGAACUAUACAAUAAGGAGUGCAAAUGCUGUGCAGAGCCAUGUGUAAACAAUACAUGGCCUGCUGAGGAAUUCAGGGGAAGUCAGAGGAUGUGGAUGCAAACAGCAGGGAGCAGCAUUGCAUGGCAUCAGGUAGGAGCAAUCCUACAAUCCUGUAGGCUGCUCCAAGGAUAUUGUUCUUCUGUUUAAAGAGAAAUGUGGAUAUAUUGAAGUCAGCAGAAAGGAAGAGAGUGACAUUAUCACAUUUGUAUUUUGAUAAAAUCAUAUUUGAUGCAAUAUUACAGAUUGGAAGAAAGCUGGAGUAGGUGGAUGCAAGAAAUUAACUCAGGAGACAACUUGUCAAAAUCUGCAGAUGAUUUUGGAGAGAGUGCAAUGAGGACUCUGAGCAGAUGAAGAUUCAUCAGCAUCAACACGACAGGUGCUUAAAUACGUGGGAAUCAAUCCAGCAAAGGAUAUCAAAAACCUCUACAAAGAAAACUGCAGAACACUAAAGAAAUAAAUUGAAAAGGACCUUAGAAGAUGGUAAAACCUCCCAUGCUCUUGGAUAGGCAGAAUUAAUAUUGCCAUACUACCAAAAGUAAGUACUAUACAGAUUUAAUUUAAUUCUCAUUAAAUUCAGUAAUCUUCUUCACAGAAUAAUAAAAAAGCAGUUAAGAAAUUCACUUGGAAAAAUCAGAGAUCUACAAUAGUCAAAGCAUUUCUUAGUGCGAAAAGCAAAGCAUGAGGCAUUACAAUAUGAGACCUUAAAUGAUACUACAGAGUUGCAGUAACAAAAACAGCAUGGUAUCAGUACAUAAAACAGGCAUAAAGAUCAAUGGAACAGAGUAGAAGACACAGAGAAAAACCCACAUAAAUACAGUUAUCUGAUACUAGACAAUAGUGCCAAAAACAUGCAUUAGCGAAGAGAUAGCCUUUUAAAAAAUAUGGUGCUAUAAAACUGGAAAUCCAUAUACGAUAAAGUGAAAUUUAUCCCCUCUCUCUCAUGAUGCACAAACUCAUCUCAGAGUGGAUCAAAAGCCUAAGAAUUAGAUCAGAAACUCUGCAACCACUACAAGAAAAUGUAGGCACAACACUCCAAUAUGUCAGCACAGGAUCCAAAUUCCUUAACAAGACUCCUAAAGCACAAGAAGUAAAAUUUUAAAAGUCAAUAAGUG
rnacentral:lncRNA from 1 species